rnacentral:rRNA from 1 species
AUUGAACGCUGGCGGCAUGCUUUACACAUGCAAGUCGAACGGUAACAGGUUAAGCUGACGCGUGGCGAACGGGUGAGUAAUGCAUCGGAACGUGCCCGAUCGUGGGGGAUAACGCAGCGAAAGCUGCGCUAAUACCGCAUACGAUCUGAGGAUGAAAGCGGGGGACCGUAAGGCCUCGCGCGAUCGGAGCGGCCGAUGUCAGAUUAGGUAGUUGGGGGGGUAAAGGCUCACGAAGCCGACGAUCUGGAGCUGGUCUGCGAGGACGACCAGCCACACGGGGACAGAGACACGGCCCAGACUCCUAGGGGAGGCAGCAGUGGGGAAUUUUGGGCAAUGGGCGCAUGCCUGAUACAGCAAUGCCGCGUGAAGGAAGAAGCCGUUCGGGUUGUAAACUGCUUUUGUACGGAGCGAAAAGGCUCUCUCUAAUACAGGGGGCUCAUGACGGUACCGUAAGAAUAAGCACCGGCUAACUACGUGCCAGCAGCCGCCGUAA